GCAUGGGUGGCUUAGUCGGUUGAGUGUCUGACUUUGGCUCAGGUCAUGAUCUCGCGGUUCGUGGGUUCGAGCCCCACGUCGGGCU
rnacentral:tRNA from 1 species